UCUUGGUCAUUUAGAGGAAGUAAAAGUCGUAACAAGGUUUCCGUAGGUGAACCUGCGGAAGGAUCAUUAUUGAAAUAAACCUGAUGGGUUGUUGCUGGUUCUCUAGGGAGCAUGUGCACGCCUUGUCAUCUUUAUAUCUCCACCUGUGCACCUUUUGUAGACCUUUCAGGUCUAUGUUGCUUCAUUUACCCCAAUGUAUGUUAAUAGAAUGUUGUGACUAUAUAAUAUAUACAACUUUCAGCAACGGAUCUCUUGGCUCUCGCAUCGAUGAAGAACGCAGCGAAAUGCGAUAAGUAAUGUGAAUUGCAGAAUUCAGUGAAUCAUCGAAUCUUUGAACGCACCUUGCGCUCCUUGGUAUUCCGAGGAGCAUGCCUGUUUGAGUGUCAUUAAUAUAUAUAUCAACCUUCUCUUUGUUGAGUGGUUUUGGAUGUGGGGGUUUGCUGGUCUCUUUAAAGGUUUCAGCUCCCCUGAAAUGCAUUAGCAGAACAACCUGUUCAUUGGCGUGAUAACUAUCUAUGCUAUUGAAUGUGAAGGGCAGUUCAGCUUUCUAACAGUCUUUGGACAAUUCAUCAUUAAUGUGGCCUCAAAUCAGGUAGGACUACCCGCUGAACUUAAGCAUAUCAAUAAGCGGAGGAAAAGAAACUAACAAGGAUUCCCCUAGUAACUGCGAGUGAAGCGGGAAAAGCUCAAAUUUAAAAUCUGGCGGUCUUUUGGCUGUCCGAGUUGUAAUCUAGAGAAGUGCUAUCCGCGCUGGACCGUGUAC
rnacentral:rRNA from 1 species